AUGUCUUAUGGUGCAGACGGCCAUGAAAAUCGAAAGGAAAUAUCGGUAACAUAUGGAUCAAAGGACCAAGAAAUUCGCAAGGAAGCAUCAGGAUCCUACGGGUUAAAAGGUGAAAGGGAUUUAAAAGAAAUCUCAGUGUCUUAUGGUGUAGACGGCCAGGAGAUUCUAAAGGAAGGCUCCACAUCACACGAAGAAAAUUCAAAGGAAGUCAGUAUGUCAUAUGGGUCAGUUGAAGAGAAAGAUGAACAAGCCGACGUUCUGAAUCAAGUAAAAGGAGAGGGGAGCCACCAUGUUCACGCUCACAGCUACAAGAACAAGAAAGAGGCGGAUGUCUUUUUCUUCCACGACAUGUUGAGGCCAGGGUCCUUGAUCACUCCGACCAUCCCGCCGACCGCCUCCAUGCCGGCGCUUCUCUCCGGUGACGUCGCCGACUCCAUCCCAUUCUCCACGGAACACCUCUCCGACAUCAUCACGAUGUUCGCGCCGGCGUCACUCACGAUGACCAGAGAGAUACGGUGGACGCUGGACACUUGCGAGCACCCACGAACGCUCCCCGGCCAGAAAGCAGGCUGCGCCACCUCCUUGGAGUCCCUCGUCGAGCUGCCGGCGUCCCUCCUUGGGAGGGGCAACGUCCGUGCGUUCUCCGCCGUGGAUCUGCCCAUGGAUGGCCCGGGGACACCGGCGCUUAGGGGGAGGUACAACGUGACGGCUGCACGGAAGCUCUCCGGUUCAUCAUCUGAGGUCGUGACCUGCCAUGACCUGACCUACCCGUACUCAGUGUACUACUGCCACACGUCCAGGCCUACGUCUGCGUACAUGGUGACGCUGGCGAGUGUGGAGGAGGGUGCAUCUCCGACGACGAUGGAGGUCAUGGCCGUGUGCCACCUUGACACGUCAUUGUGGAGCCCGAAGAACUCGUUCUUUGAGCUGCACAACGUUAGGCCAGGUGAUGUGGCAGUGUGCCACUUCCUCACUAAGCUGAGCAUCAUCUGGGUGACCGUGGAUGAGCAUGCCGACGCACGGUAG
rnacentral:rRNA from 1 species